AAUUGCAGAAUCCCGUGAACCAUCGAGUUUUUGAACGCAAGUUGCGCCCGAAGCCAUUAGGCCGAGGGCACAUCUGCCUGGGCGUCACGCAUCGUCGCCACCCCCCAAGCAUGCGUGCAAUGCGGGAGUGACGGAAAUUGGCCUCCCGUGUUCAGCCCUAGCGGCGACGNGGUUGGCCUAAAUUGAAUCCUCUAUUCGGGAGAGUCACGACAAGUGGUGGUUGAAAUCCUCAACUCGAUCGAAGUCGCGGCCACAACGUGUAAAGGAGAUCAAAAGACCCUGGGACUUACGGUCCCUCGACAAUGACCCCAGGUCAGGUGG
rnacentral:rRNA from 1 species